GACGAACGCUGGCGGCGUGCUUAACACAUGCAAGUCGAACGGAAAGGCCCUGCUUGCAGGGUGCUCGAGUGGCGAACGGGUGAGUAACACGUGGGUGAUCUGCCCCUUACUUUGGGAUAAGCCUGGGAAACUGGGUCUAAUACUGGAUAGGACCAUGCUGUAGGUGGUGUGGUGGAAAGAUUAGUUUCGGUAAGGGAUGAGCUCGCGGCCUAUCAGCUUGUUGGUGGGGUAAUGGCCUACCAAGGCGUCGACGGGUAGCCGGCCUGAGAGGGUGGACGGCAACAUUCGGACUGAGACACGGCCCAGACUCCUGCGGGAGGCAGCAGUGGGGAAUAGUGCACAAUGGGCGCAAGCCUGAUGCAGCGACGCCGCGUGGGGGAUGACGGCCUUCGGGUUGUAAACUCCUUUCAGCCAUGACGAAGCCCUUGUGGUGACGGUAGUGGUAGAAGAAGCACCGGCUAACUACGUG
rnacentral:rRNA from 1 species